AGUUCCGUGAGCAGCGGAACUAAUGAUGCCUGGUUUCCAGCGGCUCUCUCCUGUGUGGAUUCUCUGAUGUCUAAUCAAGGCCUGGUGUCGUGGUGGAGGAACAGUUUUUAACAGCAGCAUCCGUAGCAGAGCGAUGCCAACUGCUUCUUCUUGUUCAGAGUCUGUGUGUUAACAAAUACAUUUCUGAUCAUUAUGGGAACAGAUGGAUCCAAACGCCCAGACAAAACAUUUUGCAUCACAUCAGUGAGACUGAAAUGAUGAAAGCCCACUAGACCAAUGAAGUACCACAUUUGAGAUCCAGAGUAUCCGUGUGAGGCCCACUAGGAAAGCAGCACUGCUGUUACUCUCUGCAUUUUGUAUCCUAAAUAUAUGAGUGUCUUCUCUAAAAAUGGGAGCAGAGUUAAGUGGAUUUGGCCAUUACUACUCUCACAGACUUCACAGUACAUGGAAUUAACUUCUAAUACAAACUAUAACCUGGGAUUUCCAGGUAUUCCAAGGUUUUUUUGACUGAAAUAAAUCAUAGAUUUACAAA